rnacentral:rRNA from 1 species
AACGAACGCUGGCGGCAGGCCUAACACAUGCAAGUCGAACGCAUCGCAAGAUGAGUGGCAGACGGGUGAGUAACGCGUGGGAACCUUCCCAGUGGUGCGGAAUAGCUCAGGGAAACUUGAGGUAAUACCGCAUGAGCCCGCAAGGGGAAAGAUUUAUCGCCAUUGGAUGGGCCCGCGUCGGAUUAGCUAGUUGGUGAGGUAACGGCUCACCAAGGCGACGAUCCGUAGCUGGUUUGAGAGAAUGACCAGCCACACUGGGACUGAGACACGGCCCAGACUCCUACGGGAGGCAGCAGUGGGGAAUAUUGGACAAUGGGCGCAAGCCUGAUCCAGCCAUGCCGCGUGAGUGACGAAGGCCUUAGGGUUGUAAAGCUCUUUUGGCGGGGACGAUAAUGACGGUACCCGCAGAAUAAGCCCCGGCUAACUUCGUG